CUGAUUAGGAUCUAGGCUUCCUUUUCUCCCCCUCUUCCCUCUACCCCCAGCUAAGCAAUAAGCUCCCAUUGUUCCCAGAUACUUCUGGAACCCACAUGGAUUUGGCCAAGUUUAUGUUUUGAUAGAAACUCUCAAUGUUUCCAUUGUCUGACUAGAGAGUGUGCAAAUUAUUCAUCUUAAUUAAGUCUUCCUUAGGUGUUAUUUUGACAGAGACUCUUACCCAUUGGAUUUUAUUUACCUCUUCUUUGUUUUAGAAACCAAGAAUGAAAGCCUGUAUUUGCAAGCAGCAUGCUCCCCUGGAGUAUCUACAUCUGAAAGAUGGAUGUUCUGCUGAAAGAAAUGAUAGUCAAGAUGGUCCCAGGCUGGCCUGACUUCCCACUCGCCAGUUCCUUAGAGUUUUGAAAGCCAGUUAAGAAUUGUUUCUCUGACGGAGUGGCUGCUUGGGUCCAAGGUUCAGGCUCUGUUUUGCUGUCAUGUCAAAUAAGGCACUGGAUCCUCAGUAGGUUUCAGUUUUUUGUCAAAUGGGAAGAAAGAUCUGACCAACCUCUCAUUCUCUCCUAACAGAAUUGUUCAGGAAAUUAAAUGAAAUAGUAAAUGGGAAAGCACUCUGCAAGUUUUUAAAUGUAAUCGAAUAGAACAGAAGAAAGAGAAUUGGGAAGGAAUUUUCAUCUGCAGUGGAUUCUCCUUUUACCCACAUCUUACCCGGGCCUACAGCUUCUCAGUGCAGCCUCCAGGACCCUCCCACUCACCUUGAUCUCUCCAUUCCCUAGUUUCUGUCUCGAAUAUUCUUACACCUAAGGCUGUGCAAUGUGAUACUUUCAUUGUUUUGUAUGCACUCAUGAUGACUGCUCCCAGAGGAAGGUCCAGUGGAGGCAUGAUAACCUGAUGUAGGGUUUUAGGCAUUAGUGAGCAGGUAGAGGAGAGGAGAUAUCUGGAGGAAAGGGUGGUCUUUUCAGAUACUAAAAUUACAAAGAGUUGGAGGUGUUGGGAAGAGCUUCAAAUUAGACUUUAGUAGAAUUAAAUUCUCGUCUGGGUAUUUCAAUGACUAGUUUUGAGCAUGUCAAAUUUUUUCACCUUCCUGAUUUCAGUUUCUUGAGCUGUGGGGCUCAAGAAAUGGGGCUAUGAAAUUUGUCCUGCCUGCUUCAUUAAGGUGUUUUAGGGAUUUAGUGAACCAAUGCACAUUAACAAGCUUUGCAAAAGGUGAGAGUUUUGUCAAAUUUGAAGGGCCUAUUGCUGCUAUUUAAUGACUGCAUUUGUGCCCAGUAGGGUAACACAAGGAGCAUUCACAUAAUGCUUGCUGAAUGAGGCUGGAGGGAAGGGAUUCCUCUCACUGGGUCCAUGUGUCAUGGACAGUGCUUGAGCUUUGUCUUUAGACAGAACCUGGUUUACAGCUUAUUUCUGCCAUUUCCUACCUGCAAGUUAUUAAACCUCCCUGUGGUCAGUUUCAUUUAUGUUCACCAAUAUCCAGUUCUCCUUGCCAUGCCCCCAGCACAUGAAGACUCAGCAGCUGGGUGGGGCCGUGAGACUAGUUCUGGAAGUUUACUUCCAGGCUGAGUGAAAAGCUCAUGCAUGACUGUCCAGUCUCUUUCUUCCCCUGCCAGAACAAUUAUGGAGGAGGCCUUGUGUUGACAUGGUGGGCCAAAAGAUCAAAGCAGCCAGGAUUGAUGAGUCACUUCACAGAAGGUGUGAGUAGGACAUACACUCUCAUUUUGUAAAACCACCAAGAUUCUUAGAAUCAUUUGUUAUUGCAGCACAAACUAGCCUGUCCUGACUAAUGCACAGCCUGAGUCUCAGGUUCCCCUCUUCUGAGAGAAUAAUACCUACUUCACAUGGUGCAGAUUUAAUGAAUGUGUGUCAAGCUCUUAACUCAGUGUUGGCUCACUGCAAGAACUCACUAAAUGUUUGCUUGUUGCCCUCCUCCAGCAAACAGUCAUUCUUAGCAAAGGUAGACAAGACAACCUGACCAGACCUUUCCUUAGGCCUCUGAGGCAUAUCAAUGAGGUCACUAGUUCCUUAUGCAAUUAGGUGCACAGUCCUUAUCAAGCAACAGGUAUUAUGAAUUCUGUCUCCCCACACUUCCUAGUUUCUUACAUGUAAAUCCUGGGACAAUAAUUUGGGGUUGUUGAGAGAUGUGACCCUGACAGCCCUUGACAUCCACCUCCCAUUUGCACCAAGCAGUGGCACCUCCACUUUCUCCCCACCACUGCCACCAACGGGCCUCCAUCCUGCUGGUGGGACUCCGUGCCUGGGGUGGGGUGAGGAGGGAGCCUCCUCUUAUUGGCCAUGAACUGUCCCCUUGGUACAAAGUAGCAGAACAGAAACAUUUGGGAAUAUCAGUAUUUGGCAGGGCCUCUGAACCGCACUUAGUCCAUGCCUUGACUUUAAUAAUAACAAAAUAAUAAAAACAAAAAAAAUUAAAACAGAA